CGGCACUUCAGCUCAUCAUUACAGUUUCGACACGUCCAUGUUUGCCGUCGUUCGUUUCGGAUGUCCUGUCGUCAACGUUCUCGUUAGUCCGUAACGUUCUGUUAUCGCCGUCGUGUAUCCUGUGCUGCCCAAGACAACGUCUCGUUCCAGUGCCCGCAGGAAUAAGCAUCGUUUGCACCGUUGGAGCAAGGUUGCCGACUGGUCUUCGCCGACUCUUCGCCAUCAAGUCAUUCACGUUUACGAUUGUACUGAAGGAAUCGGGAAAAAAUGAAGUCGCGAACAGCCACUACUAUGAUCAUGAUGAUGGUCGUCCUACUCGUCGUGCCACUUCUAAACGUUGAAGGGCAUGACCUUGUUACAGCUGAUGUCCCUACUACAACUCCCCCAGCCACUACAACUGCGUCUACCACGUCGCAGCCUCAUCCACCAACGACACCCACGUCGCAGCCUCAUCCACCAACGACACCCACGUCGCAGCCUCAUCCACCAACGACACCAGCCACAAUGAAGGCCACAGCAACUCCAGCACGAACACAAACCACAGGACCAGAGAAGGUGGAGUCAACUUCAUGCACAACUAGCACGAAAGAGGAUGCAACGGCUCUAUCCAGAGGUCAUUACGUGAUAAGUGUUGCGGCGCUAGUUCUCUCUAUCUGUCAUCUUGCUCUCCAUCUAGCAAUGUUAAUCUUUGAUGAUGAAUACCCACUAAGAUUCCGAGGGAAGACGGAUUGACUGCCGCCAGUAUGGAGAUGAUUAAGACUGAGCAUGCAAGCCACGCAAGCACUUCCUCUUUGGAUAUCACAUUUGUCAUCUUGCUCAUCUGGUUGCCAUGCCAAUGCCCUGUAAGGUUGUGUUUCAAGCCGGAGACUAUUGAACACUCCCCAUCAUAACUACAGCUACUAGCUGCCCUGCAUACAGUGAAGCUACUUGGAUGACCACAUCUUCAUGCAAUGCUGCUGCUGUUGCUGGGAAAGUAACCGCGGGUAGAUUUCAACACAUUGUUCAUUCAACCUAUCCAGUACAUUACAUACUUACUCCAGUUGCACAUACUCUUUUUGAACAGUACAUGUACUCUGUAGCAAUUCUGUCACUAGCUCACAUCAAGUCCUGCAGUCUGAUCUUUGUUCCAUGCAAUCAGUUUGUGUACUCAUUGUAGUCAAUGUAAGAUUAACUGCCUGACUUCAAAGCAUUGUGCCUUUGUUUGUCCUUUUUCUAUGUUUUGUCCCAGCUAUCUAGUCAGCGCAGUUCGCAGUUGUGCAUAACCUGUUUCUAACCUGUUUCUACUGUACUGUGAUAUUUUAUUAUAUUCAUAGUUUUACACGUACAUGUAGCUGCCACCUAGCACCCAUCACUGUGCGGGUGUACUCCA